rnacentral:rRNA from 1 species
UAAGCGGAGGAAAAGAAACUAACAAGGAUUCCCCUAGUAACUGCGAGUGAAGCGGGAAAAGCUCAAAUUUAAAAUCUGGCGGUCUCUGNCCGUCCGAGUUGUAAUUUAGAGAAGCGUCUUCCGCGCCGGACCGUGCACAAGUCUCCUGGAAUGGAGCGUCAUAGAGGGUGAGAAUCCCGUCUUUGGCACGGAUGCCUGUGCUUCUGCGAUGCGCUCUCGAAGAGUCGAGUUGUUUGGGAAUGCAGCUCAAAAUGGGUGGUGAACUCCAUCUAAAGCUAAAUAUUGGCGAGAGACCGAUAGCGAACAAGUACCGUGAGGAAAAGAUGAAAAGCACUUUGGAAAGAGAGUGAAACAGUACGUGAAAUUGUUGAAAGGGAAACGCUUGAAGUCAGUCGCGUCGACCGAGACUCAGCCUUGCCUUGGCUUGGUGUACUUCUCGGCCCGACGGGUCAGCAUCAAUUUUGCCCCUCGGAUAAUGGCAAGGGAAAGGUGGCACCUUUUCGGGUGUGUUAUAGUCUCCUGUCGCAUGCGAGGGGUGGGAUUGAGGAACUCAGCGCGCACCUUGGUGUCGGGGCUUCGGCCCACGUCACGCGCUUAGGAUGCUGGCGUAAUGGCUUUAAACGACC